GACAGAGGUUGCAAACGUUGUUCGGAAUUACUGGGCGUAAAGAGUGCGUAGGCGGUUUGACAAGUCUGGCGUGAAUCCUGCACCGCUCAACGGGCAGCCGUCGUCAGAUACUGUCAGGCUAGAGGACGGGAGAGGAGAGCGGAAUUCCAGGUGUAGCGGUGGAAUGCGCAGAUAUCUGGAAGAGCACCGGUGGCGAAGGCGGCUCUCUGGACCGUUUCUGACGCUGAGGCACGAAAGCCAGGGGA
rnacentral:rRNA from 1 species